AGCCCAUGGAAAGGGAAAAGCCUUAACAAGUCAUUAAAAUGCUCUCAUGCGUCAAACAAAGAUUCUCCCUUUUCUUGUCUAAAAUUAUUUAUCUCGUUCCUAACAUGGGCU